rnacentral:rRNA from 1 species
UGGUAUGGCAUGUCAGCAGGCUUGAGGCUUGUUUGUACUUGGAUGGGAGGCUCCUGGGAAUACCAGGUGCUGUAUACU